GACGACUCUCGGCAACGGAUAUCUCGGCUCUCGCAUCGAUGAAGAACGUAGCGAAAUGCGAUACCUGGUGUGAAUUGCAGAAUCCCGUGAACCAUCGAGUCUUUGAACGCAAGUUGCGCCCGAGGCCAUCCGGCCAAGGGCACGCCUGCCUGGGCGUCACGCUU
rnacentral:rRNA from 1 species